UGGAGAGGUUGUCCUCUUAAAAGAUGUC
rnacentral:piRNA from 1 species